rnacentral:rRNA from 1 species
UACAGAGGGUGCAAGCGUUGCUCGGAUUUACUGGGCGUAAAGCGUACGCAGACGGCGAGAAGGGUCGGACGUGAAAGCCCCGGGCUCAACCCGGGAAAUGCGUCCGAAACCGCCUUGCUUGAGUAUGGGAGAGGGAAGCGGAAUUCCUGGUGUAGAGGUGAAAUUCGUAGAUAUCAGGAGGAACACCGGCGGCGAAGGCGGCUUCCUGGCCCAUUACUGACGUUCAGGUACGAAAGCGUGGGUAGCAAACAGG